rnacentral:rRNA from 1 species
UACAGAGGUGGCAAGCGUUGUUCGGAAUUACUGGGCGUAAAGGGCGCGUAGGUGGCCUUGUUAGUCAGACGUGAAAUCCCCAAGCUUAACUUGGGAACUGCGUCUGAUACUGCAAGGCUUGAGUUCGGGAGAGGGAUGUGGAAUUCCAGGUGUAGCGGUGAAAUGCGUAGAUAUCUGGAGGAACACCGGUGGCGAAGGCGGCAUCCUGGACCGAAACUGACACUGAGGCGCGAAAGCUAGGGGAGCGAACAGG